GCCCUUGUCUUAUUGGAUGCAGAUCCAAUACCCACUAGGGAAGGACCCAUUAGGGUUUGACACGGGAUCUCUAUAAAUAGGAGGGAUUCACAGCCUCAUAGGCUAGAGUCUUUGCUUGCCUUUCCUAUUCUCCUCUCCCUCUCCACCUCAGAGUAGGCUUGGAGUUUUGAGGAGCGUCGUCACAACCCUGCUGUGUGGAUCACCGCUAGAGAGGAGGACGCUUGACCUCCUUCACCCUCUCCUAAGGAUCUGCAAAGAAACAGGGAUAUACGAUCUCCCUAGGUAACACAAUCUCUAUACGCAGUUUUAUGUUUCGCGGAUUUUUCGCACCAAUCUUCGCACGACGACGAACAUCUUUUUGGGAAUCGGGGAUUUUGUUUUCUUGUUCUUCCGCUGCGCAUGUGAUGUCGCCCCCAUUGAUUUCCCAAUAGAGUCCGGUAGGGAAGCGAGUCCGGUAGGGCUGCAUCAAGGCAAAGAGGAUUCUUGGUGUCAGUUCUACUUCUACAGGAAGGGACAAAGGAAAGGCGAUAGUAAAGAAUACUGUCGGGUUGAGUCACUAUAGUUCGACUCGAUGAUGAUGCAGCUAAGGUGGAGUUUGGUAGGGAAGCGGGUCCGAUAGGGAAGCUGGUCCACUUUGAGAUGUUAGAAGUGGACCUUCACGGUGAUCUGCUCGAGACCACCUUCACGGAGAUGUGUGACAGUAGUCAGAAAUGGGCUUGAAGUCUGUCUAUCGAUUUCGAGACAGUUAACCGGUGCGCGAGAAGAAAAGACUUGCUAUUGCCGAGGAGGAAAUCAAGAAAGGCUCUGAUACCAUUUUAAGAGAGGAUAAAAGAUAAGAAUUACUGAAGAAGCUAUUUCGCUUUGACAUGUUCUCUUCCUAUUUAUACAGGUUAAGAGGGAAGAUUUUUCUCAACAGAAUAGAGAGAUUUCCUUUAGGAAAAUCUUAUCUAUUAUCAAUAAGUAUCCACCUUUAUAUAUUCUUGAGUAAGUGAUAGGUAGGGAUUCAUAGGAGUGGUUUUGAAUUCAAAACGUUAUAUAGGGUUCAACCUCCCUUUUUUUUCUAUCUUUUUCUUCAAAAAGACCUAUCAAAACAACUCUCUCUCCUCUUUUCUUUUGAAUUGUGAUAGGGUGGCUUCCGUCAUAGAAAUUGUGAUGCUUUUCAGGUAGGUAGGACAAUAUUUGAGGUAAGUGGUUUCCCUAGUGUGUUUUAUUCUUUGAAAAUGUUCUCCACUUGUGUUUACAGUGUUGUGGGUUUUCAUCCCCUCCUAUCCAACAGACCUACAUUGUUAGAGAUGUAAAUAUAUUCAACCUAUCUUAGCUUUUUCGUGAAGUUAUAUUCGAUUAAAGAUCGUUGAGAAGGCAUAUAUGUUUUUUAUUUUUUUGCUUAGUUUAUAGUGUUUUCUGAAUACGAAGGGGAACUUAGUAAAGUUUUAAAAAACUAUAAAGGAUAAAUCAUUCAUUCAUUUCUUGAGUCUCGUGGUUAUAGUAAUUAUGAUUUAUAUCUCUUGGUGAUACUUUAAUGUGCUUGUCGGGUAAUUUGUUAUAAGCUGUCUCAUGUUUAAUUUAGGUUUUCCCUUAGUGCAUGAAACUAUGAAACAAGACUCUCUAUAAGUGGUCAUUUUGCAAGUUAGAAAUUCCCGCGUUCUUAUUAGUUAAAGCACCUGUUUCUCAUGAUAAUUGUAGCUAUAGUAAUUAUGAUUUAUUUAUAAUUAAGUUAUAAGCUUUAUCUCUCGAAUCAAUAUUACUUAAUGUGCUCGUUAGUAUUCUGUUUUAUACAUCCAUGCACGUUCUUCCACACCCUCAACACAAAAAUACGUAUCAUCCACUAAUUCAACGAGAAAACUCAAUCAUGGUGUUGUGGCACCGGUAGCAUCUUCCUUCUGAUCCUCCCAUUCUUUCAGCUUAUCUCGUCCACGUAGAUCAUGUCACGAAGAACACGACAAUAAUAGACAUCGGAAGCAAUCACCGGCGUUGGAUGGGAAGAAGAGACACCAUCAUGACGUUAACGCUGUGACGCAAGUCCCAAAUAUCGCUUCUCCUUCCUUCUCUAUAAAGCCAACCCUCUCACGACUCUGAAUCGAUCAUAUGUGCACCAUCGAAGACGAUAAGAUGAGGACAGUCGUCAAGAGUCGUGCUUCUCUCCUCCUCGCACUCGUCAUCGUCGUCUUCCUCGUCACAGUAGCGAGAGGGGAGCCGACCCCUGUGAAGGAAGCGUACGGUGCCGUGGCUCCCCAUGGGCGGGUAUGCUCGGGUCAGUACUACCGCUGCAGGCCGCCUUCGACCCCUUGAUAGGCUACUUCGGCAGUAUUGAGGAGGUAUAGUUCCUUUGACGACGCAAAAUAUAUGCAGGAGGCAGAUACGUACAAUAAGACUGUCUGUAUGGGAUGGUUGUGCAUGUUUGUAGUGCGUGUGUUUCAGAACCCUGUUGUGCUUUUAUACUUUGCAGGAUCUGUUGUGAAAGGUCAUAUAAAUAAAUAUAUAAAUAUAUUUAUAUUUAUAUA